CUAGAGCAAGUGCUGCAGUUAUCGACAGGUUAACCCAAAAAAGCCAUCGUACAAUUAUCGAUUUGUUUAUUUCCAUUUGAUUGAAUUCUACUAUGUAAAACAAUCGUUGAUUGGUUGUUUAGAAGGGUAUUUCCCGGUUCCAAUUAUUUUUACACAGCGUGACACUCGGUAGUAACUACUAAUUCUAAGGCUGUAGUUAUCGACACAUGGACGCAAUUAUCGACAGAUAUAUUGAUGUAAGCAGAGAUAGUAAAGACUGUAAUGGAUAAUGAGUUUAUUAAAGGCAGAAGACUUGUCUGAGACAGUUGAAGUACAUGUAGUUGCUACUAUAAGCUCAGAGUCAGAUGGACCCACUUGCCUUCAGGAUAUAUUAAGGGGAAAAGGACUGAUCACUUAAGAACUUAGUCAAAAUCUCUUUCUUGGAUAGUGAAUAACCUGAAAUAUAAAAUAAAGAUUCAUAGUCAUGGCAAAUGUGUUUAAAAUAGAUGAAGAACCUAUUAAUAUAUAUAGGAAAUUUGAUUUGAAACGUUUUAUUUAAGAAGUUAUCAAAAUUGCAUACAUUUGUAGUUGAAAUACAUGAACCAUAACAUCAUUAAAAGGUGCACUUCAUAGAUUAUUUCAGCAUAUAAUUUUUGUUUUCCGAUUUCAACAGAGUAUAAAAUUCAAGGUAAAACUUUUGCCAUCAGAUUUGCAUAGUUUAUUUGAGCUUUCUCCUCAGCAGGAGUCUAAACUGACGGAAGUCCGGGCCUUGAUGGCAUUUCAGGAACUCUUCCCAAAUGGUUAUCUAAAAGGGUGGUCCUUGGAACCACAUAUAGCCUGGCAGCCUUUACCUUCGACAUCCCAUUACAUCUCAUAGUUGACUUCAACUUCCCCUCAUUUUGGGUGGCAAGUAUUGGACCCUCUUUUGAUUUUGAGAUGACGUCUAGAACAGGAGUAAUGUUCUUUCAUGACUGUAUUGAAACCUAUCAUCUUUAAAGUUUAAAUUUGUCUGAGGUAGAACUAAAUGUUUACUGUUGAACAUUGUAUGUAAAUGGAUAAUUAAAUAAAACAUUAAUGUUCUAUAUAGUUACAUUAUUUUUAUACUCUUCAAUAAAAUUGUUUUUAAAACAUAAAUUUUUAUUUAAAAAUUGCAAUGUGUCGAUAACUGUAGACCUUUCUGUUUACUGGACGUAGUUAUCGACAUCCCCCUACAACUGUAUCAAUACCGUUAAUAUUGCAUAUUUAGUGGUCUGUAACCCAUACACAUCUUAUAUUAGACUAAACAAAGUGGAAUAACUCUCGGAAAAAUAAAGCGAAAAUCACAACUUUAAGAUAUUACGUAACUGACUGAUUUACCCUGUGACGUAAGCUGUCCUGUCUAGUAAACAAAUUGAUGCAACGGUUGUAAAAUGCAUGCAAAUUUGACUUGACCAAACUCCGUGGACUUUUGCAAAAUAGCAAAAGGAACGUGUAGAUAGUGUUUCAGGGAAAAGAUUACCUCAAAUGUGUUUGACAAGUUAAUUUGAAAAUUUUAAAUAAUGAAAAAUAAUAAAACUGUCGAUAACUAUAGACUGUCGAUAAUUGAAGCACUUGCU